rnacentral:misc_RNA from 1 species
AACGCACAUUGCGCCCGCCAGUAUUCUGGCGGGCAUGCCCGUUCGAGCGUCAUUUCAACCAUCAAGCUCUGCUUGCGUUGGGGAUCCGCGGCUGCCCGCGGUCCCUCAAAAACAGUGGCGGGCUCGCUAGUCACACCGAGCGUAGUAACUCUACAUCGCUAUGGUCGUGCGGCGGGUUCUUGCCGUAAAACCCCCCAAUUUUUUUAAGGUUGACCUCGGAUCGGGUAGGAGUACCCGCUGAACUUAA